rnacentral:rRNA from 1 species
UUGCUUCUAUGACGUUAGCGGCGGACGGGUGAGUAACACGUGGGCAACCUGCCUGUAAGACUGGGAUAACUUCGGGAAACCGAAGCUAAUACCGGAUAGGAUCUUCUCCUUCAUGGGAGAUGAUUGAAAGAUGGUUUCGGCUAUCACUUACAGAUGGGCCCGCGGUGCAUUAGCUAGUUGGUGAGGUAACGGCUCACCAAGGCGACGAUGCAUAGCCGACCUGAGAGGGUGAUCGGCCACACUGGGACUGAGACACGGCCCAGACUCCUACGGGAGGCAGCAGUAGGGAAUCUUCCGCAAUGGACGAAAGUCUGACGGAGCAACGCCGCGUGAGUGAUGAAGGCUUUCGGGUCGUAAAACUCUGUUGUUAGGGAAAAACAAGUACGAGAGUAACUGCUCGUACCUUGACGGUACCUAACCAGAAAGCCACGGCUAACUACGUGCCAGCAGCCGCGGUAAUACGUAAGUGGCAAGCGUUAUCCGGAAUUAUUGGGCGUAAAGCGCGCGCUAGCGGUUUCUUAAGUCUGAUGUGAAAGCCCACGGCUCAACCGUGGAGGGUCAUUGGAAACUGGGGAACUUGAGUGCAGAAGAGAAAAGCGGAAUUCCACGUGUAGCGGUGAAAUGCGUAGAGAUGUGGAGGAACACCAGUGGCGAAGGCGGCUUUUUGGUCUGUAACUGACGCUGAGGCGCGAAAGCGUGGGGAGCAAACAGGAUUAGAUACCCUGGUAGUCCACGCCGUAAACGAUGAGUGCUAAGUGUUAGAGGGUUUCCGCCCUUUAGUGCUGCAGCUAACGCAUUAAGCACUCCGCCUGGGGAGUACGGUCGCAAGACUGAAACUC